GAUGAACGCUAGCGGCAGGCUUAACACAUGCAAGUCGAGGGGUAACAGGAGUGCUUGCACUCGCUGACGACCGGCGCACGGGUGCGUAACGCGUAUAGAACCUACCUUUUACUGAGGGAUAGCCUUUAGAAAUGAAGAUUAAUACCUCAUGGCAUUAGAUUUUGGCAUCGAAAUUUAAUUAAAGAUUUAUUGGUAAAAGAUGGCUAUGCGUCUUAUUAGCUAGAUGGUAAGGUAACGGCUUACCAUGGCAACGAUAAGUAGGGGCCCUGAGAGGGGGAUCCCCCACACUGGUACUGAGACACGGACCAG
rnacentral:rRNA from 1 species